UCCUUAGCAAAAGAUCCAGCUAAUUCAUUACCAAGAAUCCAAUUUGAAACCUUACAAAAACUAAAGAAGACACAUAUUUGUAUGAAAUUUUUACCAAUUAC